CAGAAGUACAAAACUUUCAAAGAUGGUUGGAGACCUUAACCACAGAGUGUGUAACAUGUGAAUGAUGGGUCACGCUGCUCCAUCUGUGAUAAACACAUAGCUACUCUGUGAGUGGCCCAGGCUGGCUUUGAACUUGCUAGGUAGCCCAGGCUGGCCUUGAGUCUGCAAAUCCUCCUAUAUUUCCCUCCCAAGUGCUGGGAUGACAGAAAACAAAAGAAAGCAAAUUUUGUUGAAUAGUCCCAACAGGAAGAUAUAUGUGAAUAAUUUUGUAUAUUUAGGAAUACAUGAAUUCAAAAAGGCACUCUGCAUUACUGGUAUAUUUAUCUCCUUCCUUUUUAUGUCUGGUACUUGAUUUUGAACUCAGGGCCUUGUGCUUGGCUAGGCAGAUGCUAUACAUUUCAGUCAUGUCCCCAGCCAAGAAUAUGCUAAUAUGAAUGUUAUACUUUCGUUGUAACUCUCAGUAUAUAAUGCCAGCAUAGUUUU